rnacentral:rRNA from 2 species
GAAGACGGCCAUAGUAAUGGGGAAACACCUGUUCCCUUUCCGAACACAGAAGUUAAGCCCACUACGUCUGCUCUUAGUCUCCGACAAGAGGCGAACCGCAGAUGCUGUCUUCG